ACCACGCUCAAAUGCCCGGAUGAACCUCGGUGGUCCGGGGUGCAGGCUUCAAACCUGUAGCUGCUUAGCGGCAGAGUGGUUCAAUUCCACCUUUCGGGCGCUUGAAAACAAUGUAAAGCUUUUAAUAAAUUUGUGUAUAAAUCUGAAGACCCACAAAGGAAAAUCAUUACUGUUAAACCCCCUGGAAGUGAACACUGGUGUCUGUCCCAGGAAAUGACGUUGUGAGGCGUCCUUGAUUAGCAUUAGACAUCCAGCGUGUGCUGCCUUUACUGUCUAUGGUGCUGCAUAGACAUAUGUCUAUGGCGUGUUGGACCAAGAAGUUAGCAGGCUAACACUAAUAAUGUAAAAUUAAAUGAAUCGUCCUCUGUUCGCGUCAUUCCCCGGUUUUGUCCAAUAAAAUGCCUCUACACAAGUAUCCACCAAAACUGUGGGAAGCCCUGAAGCUGCAGAAGGGCAUCUACGGCCGUUUACCCCAGCACUACUUGUGCUCCCUGCAGGACGGCACCCCUCCGUCCCCUCUGGGUGUCAAAUACAGACUCAGUCCCACAUCUGGACACAGAGAGCGGGUGUAGGUCGUGCCUGUCCCCGUCCAUCAGCCGCCAGGGUCACACCGCGGACUCUGGGGGGUGAAGGUUGGGUGUCUUUGCUUUAGAUACGCUAAAGAUGACAAGCUUUUUACAAGACUGCUCUAAACCUUGAAGACGCAGCUGUUUCACAGAGAGCUGGACAGAGAGAUCCUCGACCAAAUGCUGCUUUUAGCUUCGACUUCUACAUUCUUAAUAAAUCAGACACCGAAGCAAGAUUUGAACUCCAAGUUUGGAAUGGAUCUGAAAUGUGCUAUGAUUUUACGUCUGGCACAGAAAGACACAGAUCUGUACCCUCAUGAUCCUUCUCGCUGGGAGACGAUCUACAACCGCUUCAAGCCUUCUUCUGAUUUCUUACAAGCAGCAGUUUGAGAUCCUAGAGGCUUGAGUCUAGAUGAAGCUUUAGAGAAACGGAGGCUACUGGAAAAGAAGGACCCAGAGCCUCUUCACAAGAGUUUGGCGAAGAAGCUUGUGGAGGAGCUUGCCUUUAAGAAGCCCUCAGAUGUGCAGAUUGUGGAGAAGAAAUAAUGAUGGCUGUUCUCUUCUUUGCCAUCCUCCAUGUCUGUCAUACAGUCUGAAGAAUAAACAGUAUUGCAUUUAUUUUGUAUUGACAUCACCAACAGCUUGCUGAUAUUCUGUAAAUAUAUAAUAUUUACUUAAUAAUAAAUUGAUCCAGAGAUGUAUUUGCAGAUCUGA